AUUGAACGCUGGCGGCAUGCCUUACACAUGCAAGUCGAACGGCAGCACGGGUGCUUGCACCUGGUGGCGAGUGGCGAACGGGUGAGUAAUACAUCGGAACGUACCUUAUCGUGGGGGAUAACGCAGCGAAAGUUGCGCUAAUACCGCAUACGCCCUGAGGGGGAAAGCGGGGGACCGUAAGGCCUCGCGCGAUUAGAGCGGCCGAUGUCUGAUUAGCUUGUUGGUGAGGUAAAAGCUCACCAAGGCGAUGAUCAGUAGCUGGUCUGAGAGGACGAUCAGCCACACUGGGACUGAGACACGGCCCAGACUCCUACGGGAGGCAGCAGUGGGGAAUUUUGGACAAUGGGGGCAACCCUGAUCCAGCAAUGCCGCGUGAGUGAAGAAGGCCUUCGGGUUGUAAAGCUCUUUUGUCAGGGAAGAAACAGCAGCUCUAACACAGACUGCGAAUGACGGUACCUGAAGAAUAAGCACCGGCUAACUACGUGCCAGCAGCCGCGGUAAUACGUAGGGUGCGAGCGUUAAUCGGAAUUACUGGGCGUAAAGCGUGCGCAGGCGGUUAUACAAGACAGGCGUGAAAUCCCCGGGCUUAACCUGGGAAUGGCGUCUGUGACUGUAUAGCUAGAGUGUGUCAGAGGGGGGUGGAAUUCCACGUGUAGCAGUGAAAUGCGUAGAUAUGUGGAGGAACACCAAUGGCGAAGGCAGCCCCCUGGGAUAACACUGACG
rnacentral:rRNA from 1 species